UACAGAGGGUGCGAGCGUUAAUCGGAAUUACUGGGCGUAAAGGGCGCGUAGGCGGUUAUUUAAGUUAGAUGUGAAAUCCCUGGGCUUAACCUAGGAACUGCAUCUAAUACUGGAUGACUAGAGUGCUGUAGAGGGUAGUGGAAUUUCCGGUGUAGCGGUGAAAUGCGUAGAUAUCGGAAGGAACACCAGUGGCGAAGGCGGCUACCUGGACAGACACUGACGCUGAGGCGCGAGAGCGUGGGGAGCAAACAGG
rnacentral:rRNA from 2 species